CUUUGGGAUAAGCCUCGGAAACGGGGUCUAAUACCGGAAAUGAGCAUUCCACGCAUGUGGUUUGUUGGAAAGUUUUUCGGUGGGGGAUGUGCUCGCGGCCUAUCAGCUUGUUGGUGGGGUAAUGGCCUACCAAGGCUUCGACGGGUAGCCGGCCUGAGAGGGUGACCGGCCACACUGGGACUGAGACACGGCCCAGACUCCUACGGGAGGCAGCAGUGGGGAAUAUUGGACAAUGGGCGGAAGCCUGAUCCAGCAACGCCGCGUGAGGGAUGACGGCCUUCGGGUUGUAAACCUCUUUCACCUCCGACGAAGCGAAAGUGACGGUAGGGGGAGAAGAAGCACCGGCCAACUACGUGCCAGCAG
rnacentral:rRNA from 1 species